CCAGCAGCUGCGGUAAUUCCAGCUCCAAUAGCGUAUAUUAAAGUUGUUGCAGUUAAAAAGCUCGUAGUUGGAUUUCUGGUUAGAUGCCCCUGAUCCGCAUCCUUCGGGGUGUGAGUGUCGGUGUGGCGUCUGCCAUCCUUUGUAGAACUUACCCCUGGGGGUUUACUCUCUUAGGGUGUUCUGGUCUACAUCUUUUACUUUGAAAAAAUUAGAGUGUUUAAAGCAGGCUUUUGCUGUGAAUACAUUAGCAUGGAAUAAUAAUAUAGGACUUCGGUUCUAUUUUGUUGGUUUCUAGUACUGAAGUAAUGAUUGAUAGGGAUAGUUGGGGGUGCUAGUAUUCAGCGGCCAGAGGUGAAAUUCUUGGAUUCGCUGAAGACUAACUUAUGCGAAAGCAUUCACCAAGGAUGUCUUCUUUAAUCAAGAACGAAAGU
rnacentral:rRNA from 1 species